rnacentral:lncRNA from 1 species
UUUUGCUUUGAGAACAUAGUCUGCAUGAAAUUAAUAAUUUAGAUUUUGUUGACACUGUUGCCAAUAUUUGCAUGGUAGAGAAUAAUUUAUAUUCUGAUUAUUGAAUACAGGAUUCUAUGUGAGGACAUGAUCAAGCCUAUUGAGGGUAGUAUCUUUCAAUCUGUGCAUUGGCUAUUUUGCAGCCUGAGCUAAGCAAAUUUGCACAUUCAGAUUGAUGCCUCAUGGAGCAAAAUGACUGUUGCAGGUGGACAUGUGCAUCAAAGGAUUCCAUCACAGUAAACCUUAGGACUUCUUCAGGGAGCCGGAGGGAGAGAUGUGACCACAUUCUCCUGCUACGUAUGACUGGAGUAGCAUGAAAUGAUGACUGAUAAAGCAGAGGAGUCUGCUGUCAGGCUCCAAAGCCAAAUGAAACGUCCUGGGAAACCCAUCACUCCUCCUCCGUCUAAGAAAAUGCAGAGGAUGGCGCUGCUGUCACUGAAAGAGAAAGGAGAGGAAGCAUCCCACCCCAGAGGCUCAGCCAUGUCCUUGGAAGAUGGAACUGAUGACUGAUAAAGCAGAGGAGUCUGCUGUCGGGGCUCGAAGCCAAAUGAAACGUCCUGGAAAAUCCGUCGUUCCACCUCCAUUUAAGAGAAUACUGAGGAUGACGCUGCUGUCAGAGAAAAAGGGAAGCGAGGGAGCAUCCCACCCCAGGGGCUCAGCCAUGUCCUUGGAAGAUGAUGACCCCAGGGUGAGAGCAAUGUCUGUGUCAGAAGUUCUGCCAGAUAAACUGCCAAUGCCAAUGGAAAUCAAUAUUGAAAUCAAAGAGCAAUUAAAGAAGGAGAUUCAACAGUUUGGAGGACAUAAGUAGAAUAAGAAUUUCUCUCCAUGAAAGCAGAGGAAAUCUGCUUUCUCAUCCUAUGAUUUAGACUACAUUCAACUGACCUCUUGAGGCUCAACCUUUGCCAGAAAUGGGUUUUCACAAUUGGAAUGGUUCCUCUUUAUUUGGACUAAAGUGUCCCAGUAAACGUUUUGU